rnacentral:sRNA from 1 species
AUGUCCCACGCGUCCACCGCAGCUCCUGCGCGUCGUCCACACCGACCUGACGACUGCCCGCGACGUUGUGCGAGCC